CAGUCGCCGCGGUAAUACAGAGGGUGCGAGCGUUAAUCGGAUUUACUGGGCGUAAAGCGUGCGUAGGCGGCUUUUUAAGUCGGAUGUGAAAUCCCUGAGCUUAACUUAGGAAUUGCAUUCGAUACUGGGAAGCUAGAGUAUGGGAGAGGAUGGUAGAAUUCCAGGUGUAGCGGUGAAAUGCAUAGAGAUCUGGAGGAAUACCGAUGGCGAAGGCAGCCAUCUGGCCUAAUACUGACGCUGAGGUACGAAAGCAUGGGGAGCAAACAGGAUUAGAUACCCGGGUAGUCCCUGUCUCUUAUAC
rnacentral:rRNA from 1 species